ACGGAGGGUGCAAGCGUUAAUCGGAAUUACUGGGCGUAAAGCGCACGCAGGCGGUUUGUUAAGUCAGAUGUGAAAUCCCCGGGCUUAACCUGGGGACUGCAUCUGAUACUGGCAAGCUUGAGUCUCGUAGAGGGGGGUAGAAUUCCAGGUGUAGCGGUGAAAUGCUGAGAGAUCUGGAGGAAUACCGGUGGCGAAGGCGGCCCCCUGGACGAAAACUGACGGUGAGGUACGAAAGCGUGGGGAGCAAACAG
rnacentral:rRNA from 1 species